AUAAUACUUCCUCCAUCCCAAAAUUCUUGUCUUAGAUUUAUCUAGAUGUGGAUGUAUCUAAACCUAAAAUGUGAAUAGACACAUCCGUAUGUAGAUAAAUCUAAGACAAGAAUUUUGGGACGGAGGGAGUAUAAU
rfam:Triticum aestivum genome assembly, contig: Triticum_aestivum_CS42_TGACv1_scaffold_499886_6BL